UGGGGCCUUAGUGGCUUGGAGCCUCGUC
rnacentral:piRNA from 1 species